GUUUGGAUUUUUCCAACAACAUUUCGGUAAAUAUUUUUGUCUUUCAUUAACGAAAGAUUUACAAGACAAAAUAUAAUGAUACUCGUCACCAAUUUCAGCCGAGCCACAGAUACGACACAAUCUAUGAUUUCUCGACAGAUUGUGUCAUCUCCCUGUCUCAACUGGUAGACGAUGGCUACCACAUCUAAAUUUACAAAACAUAUACAUACAAUUCAAUGGUAAAAUAGAUAGAUAUUCUUCAAAUUUAAAUUCUUUUUUAAAUAUUCUAUAACAUAUACCUUUUGAUAACACGAAUGCGUAAACAUAACAAUGUGAUACCGAAUAGCGCCAUUCGAUUUUAAUUCUUACCUUCCAUCAUGGCAAUCAUUAAAGAUGUACUGAUUUUCAGUAAAUGUAUUACUAUUGGUGUUAACUAUUGAUUUCUUUCGUUAUAAAAAAAGAUCAGUUUGAAGAACUGUGACUUACUGUUACAAGGGUCAUGUGAUCGAAUAUCGGCAUAUAGAGGAAAUGAUUUUGGAAGGGCGUCGUUCCCUCAGGUUACAGGUUAACUAAAAUCCCAUGUAGGAUAAUGCCAUUAUAUUAUAAGGAGUCUUUAUGUGAGUGAAAGAUGGGCGAAAGAUACCAGAGGGACAUUCCAAUGCAUAAGUUGAAAAUAAUCUGACAACGCCAUGACUAAAAAAAAAAAAAAAGAAGAAGUACACACAACACAACAGAGAAAACUAAAUUGUAGUAAUGAAGUAGUUGAUAUAUAACCCCCUCAAUUAGCUGCGCUUGAGGAGAAGUCGUUUUGUUCAGUUGGUAGAGAGGUAGCUUACUAUUUCAAGUAUUCUGGGAUCGAAUCCGGCAGUGAAAUUAAGAAAGAUAAAACUUUUGGGCCUUACAAAAAUAUUUAUCAUAUUUUUUUUUAUCUUCAAAUAACACAUAGAAAUCGUCAGUCUUCUUCUUUUAGUAAUGCGCUGCAACGAUAAUGCUUUCACAUUUUAGCGGGUAGAUUAGAUAGAGAAAAAGUUUCCUGAGAGCGAGGUCAUCUUUAUAUAGAAUUGUCCUUAUAAGACUUUUUUUCAUCUUUUUGUUUUGAUUUAUUCCUGAAAACUGUAAAAGAUAGAGAGAAACUUUUAAUUAUGUGCAAGACCAUAAUUGUCUACAAAUA
rnacentral:lncRNA from 1 species